rnacentral:misc_RNA from 1 species
UGCGGAGGAUCAUUAUCGUACAACCGAGGUGCGGAGGGCUGUCGCUGACUUUUGUCGUGCACGCCCAAAGUGCUCUCAAACAAUAUCCAUCUCACCCAUUUGUGCAUCAUCGCGUGGGUCCUGCUUUUUGGCUUGUCCCAAGGAGGGGGGCUCGCGUUUUCACACAAACACCCUUUUAAUGCAGUGUAGAAUGUUCUUUUGCGAUGACUCGCAAUAAAUACAACUUUCAACAACGGAUCUCUUGGCUCUCGCAUCGAUGAAGAACGCAGCGAAAUGCGAUACGUAAUGUGAAUUGCAGAAUUCAGUGAAUCAUCGAAUCUUUGAACGCACCUUGCGCCCCUUGGCAUUCCGAGGGGCACACCCGUUUGAGUGUCGUGACAUUCUCAAAAAGAACCCUUCUUGGUCUUGCGAUCGGGAAAGGCUUUUUUUUGGACUUUGGAGGUUAUUGCUGGUCCCCCCUUGAUAGCCAGCUCCUCUUAAAUGAAUUAGUAGGGACCGCUUUGCUGACCCUAGACGUGAUAAGAUGUUUCUGCGUCUUG